AUUGAACGCUGGCGGCAGGCUUAACACAUGCAAGUCGAGCGAGUGGCGGACGGGUGAGUACUGCUUGGGAAUCUAGCUUAUGGAGGGGGAUAACUACGGGAAACGGUAGCUAAUACCGCGUACCAUAGGAUGAGCCCAGGUGGGAUUAGGUAGUUGGUGAGGUAAAGGCUCACCAAGCCGACGAUCUCUAGCUGGUCUGAGAGGAUGACCAGCCACACUGGAACUGAGACACGGCCCAGACUCCUACGGGAGGCAGCAGUGGGGAAUAUUCCGCAAUGGGGGCAACCUGACGCAGCCAUGCCGCGUGAAUGAAGAAGGCCUUCGGGUUGUAAAGUUCUUUCGGUAGCGAGGCGUUAACUACAGAAGAAGCACCGGCUAACUCCGUGCCAGCAGCCGCGGUAAUUC
rnacentral:rRNA from 1 species